CUGGUGGAUUAUUACCCUCAAAUGAACACUGAUAGUGAAUUUGAUGCUUGGAAUUUACUCUUUGAGCUGUGUGGAUUACCUAAGUCACAUACAGAAAGAAACAGGCAACACGUGGAAUUGCUUUUCUUUGGUUAAGAGUACAAGUAUACACAAGGCAGGGGAUAAAGACCCACAUGAAGAUUAAUUACUCCUGUUGGAAUUUAGCUUGACUGCAUAAGCAGGAAUAAAUGGACACACCCACAUUUUUUGCAACUGAAGGACACAUUGGAAAUUUCCCAGGAGCCUGAGGGUAACAUCGAACAGCCAGGUGCUACUGACCUACCAGCCAACUGCAACUCUAAGUCUCCCUGUUCUACUUCUACAAGGAACAUUUAAUUAUUAAUGCUGCUGCCAUAAGUAACCCCUGAUUUGUUUGUAAACUCUGCUUGAGGGUAAGGGUUGUCUCUGUAAAGUGUUGUAAUAGCAUGUUUCAAGGGUGCUCAUGUCAGACUGCUUGCCUCCUUCUUUAAUUAAGGUUUCUUAUAGUAAUAACAAGCAGGCGUCAGUGGCCCAGGCGUGAAUUCCUCGCACAUCCAGAACUUGCACUGAAGUUAAAGGAUUGGUCUGAACAUGAGAAGAAAUUAUGAAACAAGUUUAUUCUUAAAUCUAACAUAAAACACUCCAAUUUAAGUGGAUACAACCCUCCCCCAAGGAAUUUAUAGAAAUUAGAGGUGAGAAAUUUAUAGAGAGAAAAGUUUAGCUCCACUCAGCUCUCCUUUAGAAAAAUAACACUAAAAAAAGCAAGGUGAGCUGGAAAUUAUAACAGAAAACAUAAAAGUAUUUUGAAGCAUCUUUUCUGUGUAAAUAAAGGAAAAAUUCUUCAAAAUACUUUUAGUCAAAUAUCCUAAAUUAUUACUAAUUCUUAUCUAAAGAAGAGAUUUACCAACUCCUGUUUUCAGUUUUAGAUCAUUCAGGAGAAAUCCUCUGGAUUUCUUUUUUGAGUCUGGUAAAUUGCCAGCACUAUUCCUUUAAUUUUUCAUAUAGUUGCAGGAAAAAAAGGUGGUUUUUGUAAGUCUUUAACUUCUCCUAGGUUAUUCAGAAUACCCUCCUCCCCCCUUUUUUUCUUAUUUAAUCAUUCCAACACAGAGGAACCAAACACCUUCCUGCUUUGACUUGAACUAGAAGCAGUUAGGCUAAUAGAGAAACAAUGCAUAGACUAAUCCUGAGCCCACUGAAGUUAAUGGCCGUAUUUCUCUGACUUCAUCAGGCCAAGAAUCCACAUCCACAUGUUGGUGCAGAAAAGCCAUAGAGUGUAAAUAUCUUAUUGAGUUACACAGAGCCUGACUAGAAAAGUCCAGUGUGUAUAAAAUGGAGGAGAUGGUAGUCCCCUGCACCUAAACCACUGAAAAUGUGGCCCAUGGAUAAUACACUGGAUAGCUUACUUGAUCUUCAUUAACUUGAUAUGUACCUUAAUAUUGAUCUUCCCAUAAGAACUGAAGUCUUGAGAGAUUGCACCACCAUAUGAAAGAGGAAAAUGGCUAUUGACUGCAUUUGAUGGAACUUUUAGUGAACAAGGAAAUAUCUGUACAGCUGAGUAAAUAACAUGCAACUAAUAAUGUAUUUGAAUUUGGUCUCUUCUUGUUCAUUGAUUUCCUAUGAAUACAUUGUGGUUUUCUCAA